CUCUUGACAACCUCUGUCGAUGUAAAUGCAAUGAAUGUUUAAUUCAUUUAACAUAUCUUUUACCAUUCUUUGUGGUUCGGCCAAAGUCUCUACAGUCAGUUCGUCCGCACACGUAGGGCAUCUUCGAGAAUUCUCAAGAUGUUUCGUAAUACAAGCACGACAGAAACAAUGAUGGUUUCUCGGACACAGGACGGGCUCUCUUAAAACGUUGAAGCAAAUCAAACAGAGGAAAUUUCGAUUGACUGUGGUCGCAAAUCUCUCCUCAUCAUAGCCUUGUAUGUACGAUGCCAUAUCAGUUCACGCCAUUCUUGUUUCGUAAUCACAAAGCAAGUUCUGUGUUGAUGUUAGUCGCUCUGUAGUAUAAACCUCGCUAUAUAGACUGAAUAUAGAUACAGUGUUCGUUCUUCGAGAAAGUCUG